rnacentral:tRNA from 1 species
AUUAUGAUGUCUGAUUUAGGUGGUAAACUGUAAAUUUACUUAAGAAAUAUAUAAUUUCUCAUAAUA